GGGCCCGCACAAGCGGUGGAGCAUGUGGUUCAAUUCGACGCAACGCGAAGAACCUUACCUGGGCUCGAAAUGUAGUGGACCGGGGUGGAAACAUCCCUUUCCCGCAAGGGACUGCUAUAUAGGUGCUGCAUGGCUGUCGUCAGCUCGUGUCGUGAGAUGUUGGGUUAAGUCCCGCAACGAGCGCAACCCUUAUUGCCAGUUGCUAACGCGUAGUGGCGAGCACUCUGGCGAAACUGCCCCGGAUAACGGGGAGGAAGGUGGGGAUGACGUCAAGUCCUCAUGGCCUUUAUGUCCAGGGCUACACACGUGCUACAAUGGCCGGUACAAACCGUCGCAAACCUGCGAAGGGGAGCUAAUCGGAAAAAGCCGGCCUCAGUUCGGAUUGGAGUCUGCAACUCGACUCCAUGAAGCUGGAAUCGCUAGUAAUCGCGGAUCAGCACGCCGCGGUGAAUACGUUCCCGGGCCUU
rnacentral:rRNA from 1 species